AGGUGUUGGUAUGCCACGUCCAGCUGGAUAUGCAACGUUGAAUCGGCAACCGUCUCCUUUGUCCCGCAUUCACAGGAGCCCAGAGCUAUUGCCGCCGAGGGGGCUUAUGAGAGCCUGAGAAGACAGAGAAGACUAAGAUGAUCAGGGGAACGGAGCAGUUUCUCUGAAUGAAGCCAAAAGAUGAAAGCUGAAAGGAACCCACUCCAUCACCCUGAAUGAACACAUGAAAAGUUUCAGAGGAGAAGACAAACGGUUGAGAAGCUAGGGGUAAG